rnacentral:rRNA from 1 species
ACUCCUACGGGAGGCAGCAGUGAGGAAUAUUGGACAAUGGGCGCAAGCCUGAUCCAGCGACGCCGCGUGAGUGAUGAAGGCCUUUGGGUCGUAAAGCUCUGUCAGCAGGGAAGAACGGCCGUGUGGUUAAUACCCAUGCGGAUUGACGGUACCUGCRGAGGAAGCACCGGCUAACUCCGUGCCAGCAGCCGCGGUAAUACGGAGGGUGCGAGCGUUAAUCGGAAUUACUGGGCGUAAAGGGCGCGUAGGCGGCCAAUCAAGUCAGGUGUGAAAGCCCACGGCUUAACCGUGUGAAGUGCAUCUGAAACUGGUAGGCUUGAGUAUCGGAGAGGAAAGUGGAAUUCCCGGUGUAGAGGUGAAAUUCGUAGAUAUCGGGAGGAAUACCGGUGGCGAAGGCGACUUUCUGGACGAAUACUGACGCUGAGGCGCGAAAGCGUGGGGAGCAAACAGGAUUAGAUACCCUGGUAGUCCACAGCUGUAAACGAUGUGCACUAGAUGUGGGGAAGUGUUGACCUUUCCUGUGUCGCAGCUAACGCAUUAAGUGCACCGCCUGGGGAGUACGGCCGCAAGGUUAAAACUCAAAUGARUUGACGG